ensembl:lncRNA
GUCCCAAAUAUCCCCCAAAAUGUCACCAAAUGUCCCCAAAAAGUCCCAAAUAUCCCCAAUUGUCCCCCAAAAUGUCCUCAAAAAUGUCCAAAAUGUCCCCAAAACGACCCCAAAAUGUCCCAAAUGUCCCAAAAUGUCCCAAAUAUCCCAAAUGUCCCCAAAAAUGUCCCAAAUAUCCCCCAAAAUGUCCCCAAAUGUCCCCAAAGUGUCCCCAAAUGUCCCAAAAAUGUCCCAAUUGGCCCAAAAUAUCACCAAACGUCCCCCAAAAUGUCCCAAAAUGUCCCCCAAAAGUCCCAAAUAUCCCCCAAAAUGUCCCCGAAUGUCCCCAAAGUGUCCCAAAUGUCCCAAAUAUCCCACAAAAUGUCCAAAAUUGUCCCCAAAUAGUCCCAAAUAUCCCCCAAAAUGUCCCCAAAUGUCCCCAAAAGGUCCCCAAAUGUCCCAAAAAUGUCCCCAAAACGUCCAAAAUAUCCACAGUUGUCCCCAAAAAUGUCCUCAAAAAUGUCCCAACUGUCCCCAAAACGACCCCAAAAUGUCCCAAAUAUCCCAAAUGUCCCCCAAAAUGUCCCAAAUAUCCCCCAAAAUGUCCCCGAAUGUCCCCAAAGUGUCCCCAAAUGUCCCAAAAAUGUCCCAAUUGGCCCAAAAUAUCCCCAAAUGUCCCCAAGAUGUCCCAAAAUGUCCCCCAAAAAGUCCCAAAUAUCCCCCAAAAUGUCACCAAAUGUCCCCAAAAAGUCCCAAAUAUCCCCAAUUGUCCCCCAAAAUGUCCUCAAAAAUGUCCAAAAUGUCCCCAAAACGACCCCAAAAUGUCCCAAAUGUCCCAAAAUGUCCCAAAUAUCCCAAAUGUCCCCAAAAAUGUCCCAAAUAUCCCCCAAAAUGUCCCCAAAUGUCCCCAAAGAUUCCCCAAAUGUCCCAAAAAUGUCCCCAAAACGUCCAAAAUAUCCACAAUGGUCCCCAAAAAUUUCCUCAAAAAAGUCCCAAAUGUCCCCAAAACGACCCCAAAAUGUCCCAAAUAUCCCAAAUGUCCCCAAAAAUGUCCCAAAUAUCCCCCAAAAUGUCCCCAAAAGGUCCACAAAUGUCCCAAAAAUGUCCCCAAAACGUCCAAAAUAUCCACAAUGGUCCCCAAAAAUGUCCUCAAAAAUGUCCCAAAUGUCCCAAAAACGACCCCAAAAUGUCCCAAAUAUCCCAAAUGUCCCCAAAAAUGUCCCAAAUAUCCCCCAAAAUGUCCCCAAAAGGUCCACAAAUGUCCCAAAAAUGUCCCCAAAACGUCCAAAAUAUCCACAAUUGUCCCUAAAAAUGUCCUCAAAAAUGUCCCAACUGUCCCAAAAACGACCCCAAAAUGUCCCAACUGUCCCCAAAUGUCCCAAAAUGUUCCAAAAAAUGUCCCAAAAUGUCCCAAAUGUCCCCAAAAUGUCCCAAAAUGUCCCCAAAAAGUCCCAAAUAUCCCCCAAAAUGUCCCCGAAUGUCCCCAAAGUGUCCCAAAUGUCCCAAAUAUCCCACAAAAUCUCCCAAAUUGUCCCCAAAUAGUCCCAAAUAUCCCCCAAAAUGUCCCCGAAUGUCCCCAAAGUGUCCCCAAAUGUCCCAAAAAGUCCCAAAUAUCCCCCAAAAUGUCCCCGAAUGUCCCCAAAGUGUCCCAAAUGACCCCAAAUAUCCCCACCAAAUGGCCCCGAAUGUCCCAAAUGUCCCAAAUGACCCCAAAUAUCCCCCCAAAAUGGCCCCAAAUGUCCCAAAUGAUCCCAAAUGUCCC